rnacentral:rRNA from 1 species
GUGCACCAGUCGCGAAAACUCCGCAAUGCUCGAAAGAGUGACGGGGGAUUCCAAGUGCCUACGCUCAGCGUAGGCUGUUCAGAUGCCUAAAAAGCAUCUGGAGUAAGGGCUGGGUAAGACGGGUGCCAGCCGCCGCGGUAAUACCCGCAGCUCGAGUGGUAGUCGAUUUUAUUGGGCCUAAAGCGUCCGUAUCCGGUCUGGUAAAUGCUUGGGUAAAUCGUGGGGCUCAACCCUACGAAUUCCGGGUAGACUGCCAGACUUGGGACCGGUUGAGGAAGAGGGUACUUCAGGGGUAGGAGUGAAAUCCUGUAAUCCUUGAAGGACCACCAGUGGCGAAGGCGCUCUUCUAGGACGGGUCCGACGGUGAGGGACGAAAGCCAGGGGAGCGAAACCGGAUUAGAUACCCCGUAGU